GCACGGUUGGCAGAGCGGCAGAUGCGGCAGAUUUACAUUCUGUUUGAGGUAGGUUCGAUUCCUACACCGUGUACCA
rnacentral:tRNA from 1 species